rnacentral:rRNA from 1 species
GUGGGGAAUAUUGGGCAAUGGGCGAAAGCCUGACCCAGCAACGCCGCGUGAGGGAAGAAGGCCUUCGGGUUGUAAACCUCUGUCCUUGGUGACGAAGAAAGUGACGGUAGCCAAGGAGGAAGCCCCGGCUAACUACGUGCCAGCAGCCGCGGUAAUACGUAGGGGGCGAGCGUUGUCCGGAAUUACUGGGCGUAAAGGGUGCGUAGGUGGCCUUUUAAGUUGGAUGUGAAAUACCCGGGCUUAACUUGGGGGGUGCAUCUAAUACUGGGAGGCUAGAGUGCAGGAGAGGGAAGCGGAAUUCCUAGUGUAGCGGUGAAAUGCGUAGAUAUUAGGAGGAACACCAGUGGCGAAGGCGGCUUUCUGGACUGUAACUGACACUGAGGCACGAAAGCGUGGGGAGCAAACAGGAUUAGAAACCCCAGUAGUCC